rnacentral:lncRNA from 1 species
GGACAAUGGAAAGGUCCUGACCCAGUGAUUGUCUGGAGUCGGGGUUCUGUUUGUGUUUUUCCACAGGGAGAACGGCAGCAGAUUUGGAUUCCAGAGAGAUUAACUAAAACAAUUUCUACAGAUCGAAAAGAAGAUGAUUUGACUCAAAUCCAUAACAGCUGAUAUCCAGAACUCCAGCUUGGCCAUUCUUACAUCUGUGACAGUGAUUAACCAGGAUGCUUUUUUUCAAUAGCUAUUUUAUUAUUGCAUUUUUCCACAUCAUAAGGUUCUAUUUUUAUUUUUUGAGCUCAUACAAACCUAGGUUAAUGUUUUUCUGAUCAGUUUUAUUUUUUGACUGUGGAGUUUUUAAACAUUGCAAUGGAGAUUUCACCUAGGUAAAGCUACAAGGCCUUUACUAUUUUCUUAUGUGUUGUACAUUUGUGUGCACAUUUGUGUUUUGUGUUGUAUGUCUGUAUAUGCGUAUGUCCAUAUUUCUUAUAUGAGGAGCGCUCAUGAAAAAAUGGAACCGAAUUAUUAUUAUUUUUUUAUUCACGUGA